rnacentral:ncRNA from 1 species
AGGUUAAUAACACAGUGCCAGCGGCGGUGAGAAUAAGCAGACCGUAAAUACGCCGUAAAUCCAUCCCUAGAGGCUCGAGCCGCGCCAUCCCUAGCGCGGACGCUUU